UACACACCCCUGAAGUAUUCUGAAGGAGGAACGUUUCAUAGUGAAGAAAGGAAAUAAAUGGUUCUACAGAGAAACCUCUCCAAUGACAGAGAGCUGUUCACAACAGCAUGGCCUAACAGUCCUAAAAUGUUAAUGUGGCCCAAACCUAGCAGAAAAAUCCAAAGCUAAAGGAAUGCAUAUUCUCUGGUGUAAAAAGUGCAAAUAGUGAAAUAGAAAAAUCCCCUGUCAUUUGAGAAGUAGCCACUUUCAUAGCCCUAUUUUAUACAAAUACUCCUUCCUAUAUUAAGAUAUUUAACAUGUUGUGGUCAUAUUAUAUACACUGUUUACAAUAGUAUGCACAACUUUCCAUAUUAGCACAUAUAUAUCUACCAUAACACAUUUCAUUUUAUAUGUAUAAACUGCCCACAGGGCUGCAGUGAACACCACAGAAGUAUAUGCACAUUUAAGUGUCAAUACCUACUAUGAAAAUCCCCUAUAUAUAAGGAUAAAUAUUGUUCCACGAACUUCUGUUUCAGUUGUGCGUGUUCGUGAACGUGUGUGGAUACUAGGUUAAGAUGUAAAAUGCAGUAUGUUUAUUGUGGGUUGAAAUUUUUAAGAGUCAAGCUCUGCAGGCCC
rnacentral:lncRNA from 1 species